CAGUCGAACGAGAAGGCGUAGCAAUACGCUUGUACAGUGGCGAACGGGUGAGUAAUACGUGGGUAACCUACCCUCGAGUGGGGAAUAACCUGCCGAAAGGCGGGCUAAUACCGCGUACGCUUCCCGGUCUGCGGGCCGGGAAGGAAAGCCAUGCCGUGGGUAUGGCGCUCGAGGAUGGGCUCACGUCCUAUCAGCUAGUUGGUAGGGUAACGGCCUACCAAGGCGACGACGGGUAGCUGGUCUGAGAGGACGAUCAGCCACACUGGCACUGAGAGACGGGCCCGACUCCUACGGGAGGCAGCAGUAAGGGAUAUUGCGCCAAUGGGCGAAAGCCUGACGCAGCAACGCCGCGUGCGGGAAGACGGCCUUCGGGUUGUAAACCGCUUUGGAAGGGGAAGAGGCAGGACGGUACCCUUGGAACAAGUCUCGGCUAACUACGUGCCAGCAGCCGCGGUAAAACGUAGGAGGCGAGCGUUAUCCGGAGUUACUGGGUGUAAAGGGCGUGUAGGCGGCUGGGCAAGACGUGUGUGAAAGCGCUCAGGCUCAACCGGGCGAGGACAUGCGAGACUGCCCAGCUAGAGGCAGGUAGAGGCGCGUGGAAUUCCGGGUGUAGUGGUGAAAUGCGUAGAGAUCCGGAGGAACACCAGUGGCGAAGGCGGCGCGCUGGGCCUGACCUGACGCUGAGGCGCGAAAGCAUGGGGAGCGAACGGGAUUAGAAACCCCGGUAGUCCAUGCUGUAAACGCUGCGGACUAGGUGUGGCGGUGGAAGCUGCCGUGCCGAAGCGAACGUGAUAAGUCCGCCACCUGGGGAGUACGGCCGCAAGGUUAAAACUCAAAGGAAUUGACG
rnacentral:rRNA from 1 species